UAGAAGGCCACCUGGUUGUAACAUCUGUCACCCCACAGAUCACCGGGACUGACUCCAGGCUAAUCUGGCUGGCUCAGUGUGUGCCUCCUUCAGCGCCCACCCGCUCCACGUGAGUGCCUCAUGCUCAGCCAGAGAGGAAGGCCUUCCCAUCAAUAGCGAAGGGCCACUCCUCAGUGGAGGGUAUAAAAGUAGCCAUGCUCCCUUCCAGAAUCCCCAGUCAGCUUGGCCUUAGCAUCUGAAACUGUGGGCCACAGUCCCAUCGGAGGGUUGCGUAACCUUGUGAAAUUUUGUUUUAAAAUAAAUUUAUGAUUU
rnacentral:snRNA from 1 species